GUGUCAGCAGCCGCGGUAAGACGUAGGGGGCGAGCGUUAUCCGGAUUCACUGGGCGUAAAGGGCGCGUAGGCGGUUACGAAAGUCCGAUGUGAAAAGUCACGGCUCAACUGUGAUCGUGCAUCGGAUACUUCGUUGACUUGAGGUCGGUAGAGGCAAGUGGAACUAGCGGUGUAGCGGUGAAAUGCGCAGAUAUCGCUAGGAACGCCGGUGGCGAAGGCGAUUUGCUGGGCCGUACCUGACGCUGAUGCGCGAAAGCUAGGGGAGCGAACCGGAUUAGAUACCCGGGUAGUCC
rnacentral:rRNA from 1 species